UACGAGGGGGGCAAGCGUUGUUCGGAAUUAUUGGGCGUAAAGGGUGCGUAGGCGGGUCUUUAAGUCAGGGGUGAAAUCCUGGAGCUCAACUCCAGAACUGCCUUUGAUACUGAAGAUCUUGAGUUCGGGAGAGGUGAGUGGAACUGCGAGUGUAGAGGUGAAAUUCGUAGAUAUUCGCAAGAACACCAGUGGCGAAGGCGGCUCACUGGCCCGAUACUGACGCUGAUGCACGAAAGCGUGGGGAGCAAACAGG
rnacentral:rRNA from 1 species